GGGUUGUAAACGUCUUUUAUGUAGGAAGAAAUUUUGAUAGUUGUAUCUGUUUGACGGUACUACACGAAAAAGGACCGGCUAACUCCGUGCCAGCACCCGCGGUAAUCCGGAGGGUCCAAGCGUUAUCCGGAUUCAUUGGGUUUAAAGGGUUCGUAGGCGGAUCAAUAAUUCAGUGGUGAAAGCCCGAAGCUCAACUUCGGAACUGCCAUUGAUACUGUUGAUCUUGAAUUUGGUUGAAGUGGGCGGAAUAUGACAUGUACCGGUGAAAUGCAUAGAUAUGUCAUGGAACACCAAUGGUGAAGACAGCUCACUAAGCCAAUAUUGACCCUGAUGAACGAAAGCAUGGGUAGCGAACAGGAUUAAAUACCCUGGUAGUCCAUGCCGUAAACGAUGAUUACUAGCUAUUAGCGAUACAUUGUUAGUGGCACAGCGAAGGCGUUAAGUAAUCCACCUGGGAAGUACGGUCGCAAGAUUGAAACUCAAAGGAAUUGAC
rnacentral:rRNA from 1 species